AGUGAACGCUGGCGGUAGGCCUAACACAUGCAAGUCGAACGGCAGCACAGUAAGAGCUUGCUCUUACGGGUGGCGAGUGGCGGACGGGUGAGGAAUACAUCGGAAUCUACUUUUUCGUGGGGGAUAACGUAGGGAAACUUACGCUAAUACCGCAUACGACCUACGGGUGAAAGCAGGUGAUCUUCGGACCUUGCGCGAUUGAAUGAGCCGAUGUCGGAUUAGCUAGUUGGCGGGGUAAAGGCCCACCAAGGCGACGAUCCGUAGCUGGUCUGAGAGGAUGAUCAGCCACACUGGAACUGAGACACGGUCCAGACUCCUACGGGAGGCAGCAGUGGGGAAUAUUGGACAAAGGGCGCAAGCCUGAUCCAGCCAUACCGCGUGGGUGAAGAAGGCCUUCGGGUUGUAAAGCCCUUUUGUUGGGAAAGAAAAGCAGCAGGUUAAUACCCCGCUGUUCUGACGGUACCCAAAGAAUAAGCACCGGCUAACUUCGUG
rnacentral:rRNA from 1 species